rnacentral:rRNA from 1 species
UACGAAGGGGGCUAGCGUUGUUCGGAUUUACUGGGCGUAAAGCGCACGUAGGCGGGUUGUUAAGUCAGGGGUGAAAUCCUGGAGCUCAACUCCAGAACUGCCUUUGAUACUGGCAACCUAGAGGCUGGAAGAGGGUAGUGGAAUUCCCAGUGUAGAGGUGAAAUUCGUAGAUAUUGGGAAGAACACCAGUGGCGAAGGCGGCUAACUGGUCCAGAUCUGACGCUGAGGUGCGAAAGCGUGGGGAGCAAACAGG